UAGGGAAUCUUCCACAAUGGACGAAAGUCUGAUGGAGCAACGCCGCGUGAGUGAAGAAGGUUUUCGGAUCGUAAAGCUCUGUUGUUGGUGAAGAAGGAUAGAGGCAGUAACUGGUCUUUAUUUGACGGUAAUCAACCAGAAAGUCACGGCUAACUACGUGCCAGCAGCCGCGGUAAUACGUAGGUGGCAAGCGUUGUCCGGAUUUAUUGGGCGUAAAGCGAGCGCAGGCGGAAUGAUAAGUCUGAUGUGAAAGCCCACGGCUCAACCGUGGAACUGCAUCGGAAACUGUCAUUCUUGAGUGCAGAAGAGGAGAGUGGAACUCCAUGUGUAGCGGUGGAAUGCGUAGAUAUAUGGAAGAACACCAGUGGCGAAGGCGGCUCUCUGGUCUGCAACUGACGCUGAGGCUCGAAAGCAUGGGUAGCGAACAGGAUUAGAUACCCUGGUAGUC
rnacentral:rRNA from 1 species